AUUGAACGCUGGCGGCAUGCUUUACACAUGCAAGUCGAACGGCAGCGCGGGCUUCGGCCUGGCGGCGAGUGGCGAACGGGUGAGUAAUACAUCGGAACGUGCCCAGUAGUGGGGGAUAGCUCGGCGAAAGCCGGAUUAAUACCGCAUACGACCUGAGGGUGAAAGCGGGGGAUCUUCGGACCUCGCGCUAUUGGAGCGGCCGAUGGCAGAUUAGCUAGUUGGUGGGGUAAAGGCCUACCAAGGCGACGAUCUGUAGCUGGUCUGAGAGGACGACCAGCCACACUGGGACUGAGACACGGCCCAGACUCCUACGGGAGGCAGCAGUGGGGAAUUUUGGACAAUGGGCGAAAGCCUGAUCCAGCAAUGCCGCGUGUGUGAUGAAGGCCUUCGGGUUGUAAAGCACUUUUGGCGGGAACGAAAAGGACUGUGCCAAUACCACGGUUCGAUGACGGUACCCGCAGAAUAAGCACCGGCUAACUACGUA
rnacentral:rRNA from 1 species